rnacentral:rRNA from 1 species
UACGGAGGGUCCAAGCGUUGUCCGGAUUUAUUGGGUUUAAAGGGUGCGUAGGUGGCUUUUUAAGUCAGUGGUGAAAUUUUGCAGCUUAACUGUAUAAAGUGCCAUUGAUACUGGAAAGCUUGAGUAUCGUUGAGGCAGGCGGAAUUUAUGGUGUAGCGGUGAAAUGCAUAGAUACCAUAAAGAACACCGAUAGCGAAGGCAGCUUGCUAAGCGAUAACUGACACUAAUGCACGAAAGCGUGGGUAGCGAACAGG